rnacentral:rRNA from 1 species
UACAGAGGGUGCAAGCGUUGUUCGGAAUUAUUGGGCGUAAAGCGCGUGUAGGCGGCAUAGCAAGUCGGGUGUGAAAGCCCUCGGCUCAACCGAGGAAGUGCGCCCGAAACUGCUGUGCUUGAGUACCGGAGAGGGUAGCGGAAUUCCCCAAGUAGAGGUGAAAUUCGUAGAUAUGGGGAGGAACACCGGUGGCGAAGGCGGCUACCUGGACGGUCACUGACGCUGAGACGCGAAAGCGUGGGUAGCAAACAGG